rnacentral:tRNA from 1 species
GCAAACAUAGUUUAACAAAAACAUUAGAUUGUGAAUCUAGAAUUAGGAGUUCAAACCUCCCUGUCUGCC